rnacentral:tRNA from 2 species
GGGCCUGUAGCUCAGGUGGCUAGAGCGCACCCCUGAUAAGGGUGAGGUCGACUGUUCAAGUCAGUCCAGGCCCACCA